CCCUGUUGUGAACAGUUCACUUAGGAUCAUUUCUGAUUUGAGCCUCUGGGGGAAGGGGCGUGGCCCCUGAGUGACAGGUUGGCUCUGGGGCCUGGCAGGGACAGGGACAUAUCAGAAGGACUCCCUGGAGAGCCCCUGUCCCCUCUCAUCCACACUCAGACCAGAGGGCCCUCUGCCUGCCCCGCCCCCACCAUGAGCCCCUGCCUCCUGGGCUGUGUGGUCUUCUGUCUCCUGCAGGCAGGGGCGGUCCACGCUGGUGUCACCCAGGACCCCAGAUUCCAGGUCGUGAGGACAGGACAGAGGACAACACUGAAAUGUACUCAGGAUCUGGGUCAUGACUAUAUGUGCUGGUACCGACAAGACCCGGGACAUGGGCUGAGGCUGAUCCAUUACUCAGAUGUGGCUCCCUCCACGGAGCAAGGAGACGUGCCCGACGGGUACAGCGUCUCCAGACCAAGCACAGAGAACUUCCCUCUCACGCUGGAGUCUGCCAACCGCUCCCAGACAUCUGUGUACUUCUGCGCCAGCAGUGACUCCACGGCGCUGCACGGCCACCUCCUUUCUGUGCAAAAAGGCCCUGCAGCCUGGAACUUGAGGAGCCCUUUGGAGGCUCCUACACCUGGAGCCUCGCAGCCCACAGACACACUGGCAGCAUAGCCUGCAGUUUUGAUCUUGGCUGGCACAGACCUGACAACAGGGCCUCAUGAUCAUGUGUCCACUUUCAGUCUCUGUCUUUUCACCGUAGCUGCCAGGUGAACGUAACAUGCUACCAGCUCUGCCUCCUAGUAUCAGUGUGAACAUGAGGCCUCCAGGAGGGAAGGGUGUAGGGAAAUCAGGUACAUCUAGACCCUCUUGUCUCUCCCCGGGCACCACAUGCCUGUCGCUGUGGAAGGUUCUCCCCCAGGCUGGCCCUUGUGUUGUCUCUGCUCUUGUCCAGCUUCCCCAGACGUGGGGUCUUUCCUCUCCCAUCUUCCUGGCCCUUGUUCCCACCCUUCUCUACUUCAGGCUAACUGCUCCUCCCUCAUCUGGGUCAUGUCCUUGCCUAUCACCCAGGGAACCUGAUAAUGAUCCCUAAGUGGUCGUGUUUGAGUAGGCUCCUUGUGGUCCUCAAAGAGAAUGAAACCUCAGUUAAUUAUUAAUCAUCCAAAAUUCCUUGCUAGUCCCUCAGGAGAAGGAGAGACAAGCUGUGUGUGUAUGUAUUCUCCACCACUGCCUGUCGUUAGCAUCUAAAUAGCCUAGAUCCUGAUGCUGGAAAAGACUGAAAGCAAGACAAGAAGGUGGUGGCCGAGAAAGCGGUGGUUAGAUAGCAUCUCUGACUCAACAGACAUGAAUUUGGGCAACCUCUGGGAAAUUGUGAAGAACAGGGGAGCUUGGUGCACUGCGAUGCAUGAAGUCACAAAGAGAUGGACUCCAGUUCGCAUUUGAACAGCACCACCACCAACAAAAGCUAACCCAAGUUUAUAGCAUCUCUUUCAUCAGAAUUUUCUAAAAGUCAAAGUAUUAAAUAUUUCCUGCAUGAGCAUAUUUCUUUUCUUGUGAAAUACAAAAUUAUAGAUCAGCUAUGGCAGGCUGCUGUGUCUGUGUUUCUAAUUGUGUGUGUGUGUCCUUUUGAAAAACAAAAGAAAAACACAGUGCGAUAGGCAAACUGUGAAAUAUUUUCUAAUAUGAACACGUCCCAUGACUAUUAAAUUUGGGCAGACAAUUUUGGUUUCCACACAGAGACCACAUGGGGAUGCUGUGGAACUGCCAAACUCCAGAAGUUUCUGGGGCAGAGCAAUGGGACAGUGCUAGUGCCUGGGACCAGGAGGGUUAAGAGAAAGCUUCAUUUGGGGUUUUUAUCUUUAGAAGCCUGUUCUUCAGCGAUCAGCUUUCUUUAUAGUCCAACUCUCAAAUAUGCACGUGACUACUGGAAAAAUCAUAGCAAUGACUAGAUGGACCUUUGUUGGCAAAUAAAUUGCCUCUGCUUUUUAAUACACUGUCUAGGUCGGUCAUAUGUGAACUGUUCACUUAGGUUCAUUUCUGAUUUGAGCCUCUGGGGGAAGGGGCGUGGCCCCCUGAGUGACAGGUUGGUUCUUGGGCCUGGCAAGGACAGGGACAUCUCAGAAGGACUCCCUGGAGAGCCCCUCUCCCCUCUCAUCCACACUCAGAUGAGAGGACCCUCCGCCUGCCCCGCCCCCACCAUGGGCCCCUGCCUCCUGGGCUGUGUGGUCUUCUGUCUCCUGCAGGCAGGUGAGUCCUGGGGGCAGGGUCCCCUUGGGGUGCCAGCACGAAGCAUGUCCUCUGUGA